UGUCUAUUGAAAUGUCUUCUA
rnacentral:piRNA from 1 species